rnacentral:rRNA from 1 species
AGAGUUUGAUCCUGGCUCAGAUUGAACAGCUGGCGGCGUGCUUUACACAUGCAAGUCGAGCGGCAGCAUGUCCUUCGGGAUGAUGGCGAGCGGCGAACGGGUGAGUAAUACAUCGGAACGUACCUUUUAGUGGGGGAUAACGCAUCGAAAGAUGUGCUAAUACCGCAUAAUCUCUGAGGAGGAAAGGCGGGGACCUUCGGGCCUGUCGCUGAAAGAGCGGCCGAUGGCUGAUUAGCUAGUUGGUAGGGUAAAGGCCUACCAAGGCGAUGAUCAGUAGCUGUUCUGAGAGGAAGAUCAGCCACACUGGGACUGAGACACGGCCCAGACUCCUACGGGAGGCAGCAGUGGGGAAUUUUGGACAAUGGGGGAAACCCUGAUCCAGCAACGCCGCUGUGAAUGAAGAAGUGCCUUCGGGUUGUAAAGUUCUUUAUGUCAGGGAGCAAAGGGUUUGUGCUAAUACCGCAAACUGUUGAGAGUACCUGAAGAAUAAGCAACCGGCUAACUACGUGCCAGCAGCCGCGGUAAUACGUAGGGUGCAAGCGUUAAUCCGGAAAUUACCUGGGCGUAAAACGCCGUGCG